rnacentral:misc_RNA from 1 species
GACAGAGGGUGCGAGCGUUGCUCGGAAUUAUUGGGCGUAAAGCGCGUGUAGGCGGCCCGACAAGUGGGGUGUGAAAGCCCUCGGCUCAACCGAGGAAGUGCGCCCCAAACUAUCGGGCUUGAGUGCCGGAGAGGGAAGCGGAAUUCCCGGUGUAGAGGUGAAAUUCGUAGAUAUCGGGAGGAACACCAGUGGCGAAGGCGGCUUCCUGGACGGACACUGACGCUGAGACGCGAAAGCGUGGGGAGCAAACAGG